GCCGGGAGCCAUCAAGUGAAUUAAUAUACAUUCUCAUAACAAUGAAAGACCAAAAAGUUUGGCAUUCUUGCACAGUGGAUUUUGAGGUGGCUCCGAAUGAGUACUGGUACCGAAUACUGAAGCACAACGGAAGGAAAUUGCUCGAGAAUUUGAGGUUCACUGGAACUUUCCUCAUUGCAUAGGGUCUUUAGAUGGAAAACGUGCAAAUUGUUAAUCCUGCUCAUGCUGGAAGCACUUACUACAACUAUAAAGACACUGCCAACAUUAUGUCAAUGGCAUUAGUGGAUGCUGAUUGCCAGGUUCUUCAUGCAGAUAUAGGAGUGCAGGGACAUAUUUCACAUGGAGGUGUAUUUGACAGUACAACCUUUAAUAAAGCUCUUCAGGCAGGUGAGCUGCACAUACCAUGACCGGAAUCUCUGCCUUGAAGAGCAGUGUCCACUUCCUUUGUAAUUGUUGCUGAUGCUUUUGCACUACAAGAACAUGUCAUGAAACCCUUUCCAGGAAAUCAUAACACAGGAAGCAGAGGAAGAUUAACUACAGGUUUUUAGGCUGACAAGCUGUCGAAAAUGCCUUUGGAAAACUAUCCUCUGUUUUUGUGUUUUACAAAAACCUGUUCAUCUUGAUCCCCAUAAAGCAACUAUAAUGAU